AGCGAACGCUGGCGGCAGGCCUAACACAUGCAAGUCGAACGAACUCUUCGGAGUUAGUGGCGGACGGGUGAGUAACACGUGGGAACGUGCCUUUAGGUUCGGAAUAACUCAGGGAAACUUGUGCUAAUACCGAAUGUGCCCUUCGGGGGAAAGAUUUAUCGCCUUUAGAGCGGCCCGCGUCUGAUUAGCUAGUUGGUGAGGUAAAGGCUCACCAAGGCGACGAUCAGUAGCUGGUCUGAGAGUAUGAUCAGCCACAUUGGGACUGAGACACGGCCCAAACUCCUACGGGAGGCAGCAGUGGGGAAUCUUGCGCAAUGGGCGAAAGCCUGACGCAGCCAUGCCGCGUGAAUGAUGAAGGUCUUAGGAUUGUAAAAUUCUUUCACCGGGGACGAUAAUGACGGUACCCGGAGAAGAAGCCCCGGCUAACUUCGUG
rnacentral:rRNA from 1 species